rnacentral:rRNA from 1 species
UUUUAAAUGGCCGCAGUAUUUUGACUGUGCAAAGGUAGCAUAAUCAUUAGUUUUUUAAUUAAAAGCUUGUAUGAAAGGCUGGACGAGGUAAAAUCUGUCUCUAUUUAAAUUAUAAUAGAAUUUAACUUUUAAGUUAAAAGGCUUAAAUGUUAUUAAAAGACGAGAAGACCCUAUAGAUCUUUAUAGUUUAUUAAAUUAAAUUAAUUUAGAAAUAUUAAUGUUUUAUUUAAUUAAAUUAUUUUAUUGGGGUAAUAAAAAGAUUAAAUUAAUUCUUUUUUAUAAUAAACAUUGAUUUAUGAAUAUUAAUGAUCCAGUUUUACUGAUUAUAAGAUUAAGUUACCUUAGGGAUAACAGCGUAAUUUUUUUAGAGAGUUCAUAUCGAUAAGAAAGUUUGCGACCUCGAUGUUGGAUUAAAGAUUAUUUUAGGUGUAGAAGCUUAAUAAUUUUGGUCUGUUCGACCAUUAAAUCUUUACAUGAUCUGAGUUCAGACCGGCGUAAGCCAGGUCGGUUUCUAUCUUUAAUAAAAUAAAAUAUUUUAGUACGAAAGGACCAAAUAUUUGAUAUAUUUAUAUUUAAUUUAUUGAAUAUUA